GAUGAACGCUAGCUACAGGCUUAACACAUGCAAGUCGAGGGGCAGCAUGCUGGUAGCUUGCUAUCAGUGAUGGCGACCGGCGCACGGGUGCGUAACACGUAUCCAAUCUACCCAUGGCUCGGGGAUAGCCUUUCGAAAGAAAGAUUAAUACCCGAUGGUCUGUGCAUGAGACAUCUUUUGCACAGUAAAGAUUCAUCGGCGAUGGAUGAGGAUGCGUCCGAUUAGCUGGUUGGCGGGGUAACGGCCCACCAAGGCGACGAUCGGUAGGGGUUCUGAGAGGAAGGUCCCCCACAUUGGAACUGAGACACGGUCCAAACUCC
rnacentral:rRNA from 1 species